rnacentral:misc_RNA from 1 species
GAUGAAGAACGCAGCGAAAUGCGAUACUUGGUGUGAAUUGCAGAAUCCCGUGAACCAUCGAGUCUUUGAACGCAAGUUGCGCCUCAAGCCAUUAGGUUGAGGGCACGUCUGCCUGGGCGUCACAUAUCGUUGCCUGAUGCCAGUUUCCUCGUGAUGGGUGACUGUGCAGGGCGAAUGCUGGCUUCCCGUGAGCAUUGUUGCCUCAUGGUUGGUUGAAAAUUGAGUCCUUGGUAGGGAGCGCCGUGAUAGAUGGUGGUUGAGUGACGAACGAGACCCAAUCAUGUGAGACCCCUACCGAAUUUGGCCUUCAUGACCCACAUGCGUCUUUGGAACGCUCAUGACGAGACCUCAGGUCAGGCGGGGCUACCCGCUGAGUUUAAGCAUAUCAAUAAGCGGAGGA